rnacentral:rRNA from 1 species
AAUCAACGCUGGCGGCGUGCCUCAGACAUGCAAGUCGAACGCGAAACCUUCCUUCGGGAGGGGAGUAGAGUGGCGCACGGGUGAGUAACACGUAGGUAAUCUACCUUUGGGUGGGGAAUAACAGCCGGAAACGGCUGCUAAUACCGCAUAAUGCAGCGGCUCGACAUCGAGACAGUUGUUAAAGCGGGGGAUCGUAAGACCUCGCGCCUAAAGAGGAGCCUGCGGCAGAUAGCUAGUUGGUAAGGUAACGGCUUACCAAGGCGACGAUCUGUAGCCGGCCUGAGAGGGCGGUCGGCCACACUGACACUGACAUACGGGUCAGACUCCUACGGGAGGCAGCAGUCGGGAAUUUUGGGCAAUGGGCGAAAGCCUGACCCAGCAACCGCCGCGUGAAGGAUGAAAUCCCUCGGGAUGUAAACUUCGCAAGAACGGGAAGAAUAAGUAGAAGCGAAUACCUUCUAUGAUGACGGUACCGUUU